UGCUGUGUCUCUGCGUGUGUCCGCAGUGAGCUCGGAGGUGGGCCGGGCGGUGUGGCUGCGGUUCUCGCCCCCCCUGCCCUCAGCCGGGCCCCAGCCCAGCUUCAUGGCCCACCUGUCGGGGGCGGUGGUGGGCAUCAGCAUGGGGCUGCUCAUCCUGCGCAGCUACGAGGAGAGCCUGCAGCGCCAGUGCACCUGGUGGGUCAUCGUCUUCUCCUUCAUCACCUUCCUCCUCUUCGCCAUCUUCUGGAACAUCUUCGCCUACGAGCUGCUGGGGGUCCAGAUCCCGGCCCCGCCCUGAUGAAGACCCCCCCUUUAGGGGUGUCUCAACCCGCGGGGGGGGGGGGUGUAUGCGGGUUCCCCAUGGACGCUGGCCCCUCCCCUUCAGUGGGGGGGGGUCUCCAUACACACGCAUGGACUCCGGCCCCUCCCCUUUAGUGGGGGGGGCCUUUUGGUUUUGUUUUCUCUAUUUAAAUCCAGCUGUUAUUCCCUCCAAAUCUGAACAAACAAUGUUUUUUUUACAGAUACUCACCAGGAGAGAUUAGAGAGCAGCCUGCUGACUUACAGCCUCGUCAGCAGGCUUGUGUCUUUUAUAUAUUUAAAUAUAUAAUAACCAAUCAGCUUUCACUUCCCAGAAUGCAUUUCUGAAGUCAUUCAUGUCCUCCAUGCUGGCCCUUUACAGACCCUGUGAAAUGUAAAUAUACCAGUGCACUCUGGGAAGCUUUCAUCUAUGACAAUGCGAGCAAACAUUGAGCAACAGCAACGAGCAGUGGUCGUAUUUGAGAUGAAAUUUUUCAUUUAUUUUAUAUUGUUGUCUUUUUUCUUCUGCAAAGCAGCUUACCAGCGUGAGUCUGUGCAGCCUGGAAACAGCCCCAAAGUAGCAUGGCCCUCACGACCUGACCCGCCCCGCAGGGCUACAGGGGUCCCAGUAGGCCUACAGUCCCUCCCAGUAGGGCUACAGGGGUCCCAGUAGUGCUACAGGGGUCCCAGUAGGGCUACAGGGCUCCCAGUAGGCCUACAGUCCCUCCCAGUAGGUCCCGGUAGGGCUACAGGGCUCCCAGUAGGUCCCAGUAGUGCUACAGGGGUCCCAGUAGGGCUACAGGGCUCCCAGUAGGUCCCAGUAGGUCUACAGGGCUC